UCGUUGCAUCCGACUAUUUUUGCCUUCUCUACUUUGAACCUCCUCACAUAGUCGCGAAGUGACUCAUUUGGGUUCUUCUUGACGUUGAACAAAUGAUCAGAUUUCUUUUUUAUCGAGCGAUAGGAUGAAUAUUCUUUGGUGAAAACCAAAGAAAGUUCGUAGAAAUUCCGGAUGGAUUAUGGCGGCAGGGUGUAGAACCAAUCUUGCGCCUCGCCUUGUAGAGUGGUGGCGAAUAUCUUGCAC
rnacentral:lncRNA from 1 species